UACGUAGGGUGCGAGCGUUGUCCGGAAUUACUGGGCGUAAAGCGUGCGCAGGCGGUUUUGCAAGCCGGAUGUGAAAUCCCCGGGCUCAACCUGGGAAUGGCAUUCGGGACUGCAAGGCUGGAGUGCGGCAGAGGAGACUGGAAUUCCUGGUGUAGCAGUGAAAUGCGUAGAUAUCAGGAGGAAUACCGAUGGCGAAGGCAGGUCUCUGGGCUGACACUGACGCUCAUGCACGAAAGCGUGGGGAGCAGACAGG
rnacentral:rRNA from 1 species